UUUCCGUAGGUGAACCUGCGGAAGGAUCAUUAUCGUACAAAAUGUGAGGGGCAUGCGAGGGCUGUCGCUGCCCCAAAAGUCGUGCACGCCCGAGUGUGUCCUCUUGCAUAAUAAUCCAUCUCACCCUAUGUGCAUCACCGCGUGGGCACCCUUCGGGAUCAUCUCGGAGGGGGGCUCGCGUUUACACACAAACCCCCCUUUUAAAAGUGUAGAAUGACCACAUUUAUGCAAUCAAUACAACUUUCAACAACGGAUCUCUUGGCUCUC
rnacentral:misc_RNA from 1 species